rnacentral:hammerhead_ribozyme from 1 species
AUCCAGCUGACGAGUCCCAAAUAGGACGAAAAGCGCCUUGUCAAACUGGAU